rnacentral:rRNA from 1 species
AGAGUUUGAUCAUGGCUCAGAUUGAACGCUGGCGGCAGGCCUAACACAUGCAAGUCGAACGGUAACAGAAAGCAGCUUGCUGCUUUGCUGACGAGUGGCGGACGGGUGAGUAAUGUCUGGGAAACUGCCCGAUGGAGGGGGAUAACUACUGGAAACGGUAGCUAAUACCGCAUAACGUCGCAAGACCAAAGAGGGGGACCUUCGGGCCUCUUGCCAUCGGAUGUGCCCAGAUGGGAUUAGCUAGUAGGUGGGGUAAAGGCUCACCUAGGCGACGAUCCCUAGCUGGUCUGAGAGGAUGACCAGCCGCACUGGAACUGAGUCACGGUCCAGACUCCUACGGGAGGCAGCAGUGGGGAAUAUUGCACAAUGGGCGCAAGCCUGAUGCAGCCAUGCCGCGUGUAUGAAGAAGGCCUUCGGGUUGUAAAGUACUUUCAGCGGGGAGGAAGGGAGUAAAGUUAAUACCUUUGCUCAUUGACGUUACCCGCAGAAGAAGCACCGGCUAACUCCGUGCCAGCAGCCGCGGUAAUAUGGAGGGUGCAAGCGUUAAUCGGAAUUACUGGGCGUAAAGCGCACGCAGGCGGUUUGUUAAGUCAGAUGUGAAAUCCCCGGGCUCAACCCGGGAACUGCAUCUGAUACUGGCAAGCUUGAGUCUCGUAGAGGGGGGUAGAAUUCCAGGUGUAGCGGUGAAAUGCGUAGAGAUCUGGAGGAAUACCGGUGGCGAAGGCGGCCCCCUGGACGAAGACUGACGCUCAUGUGCGAAAGCGUGGGGAGCAAACAGGAUUAGAUACCCUGGUAGUCCA